CUAACAAGGAUUCCCCUAGUAGCGGCGAGCGAAGAGGGAAAAGCCCAGCACCGAACCUCGCGCUCUCGGGCGUCGCGGAAUGUGGUGUUUAGGAGGACCGUGCGCGUCUGUCCGGUAUCGUCCAAGUCUCCAUGAAUGGGGCCAGCAACCCAGAGAGGGUGUCAGGCCCGUGGGACGAGCCGCGACGGCGUCAUUGGGUCUCUCCUUAGAGUCGGGUUGCUUGAGAGUGCAGCCCUAAGCGGGAGGUAAACUCCUUCUAAGGCUAAAUACGGCCACGAGACCGAUAGCGAACAAGUACCGCGAGGAAAGUUGAAAAGAACUUUGAAGAGAGAGUUCAAUAGUGCGUGAAACCGUUCAGGGGGUUAAACGGGUGGGCCCUCGAAGGUCGAACGGUCCCCAUUCCAGUCAUUCGCAGGCCGGUCCGCGUCGUUAUCCGAUCUCGCUACGGGACGGUGCGGCGCGGGUCGCCGGUCUACGAGGGCCGCAAGUUGGGGACCCAGUAGGACUCCGCAACCGUCUGGGAGGCCGUCAGAAGGGUUCCGGUAGAAAGCCCCUCGGGGGUGGACUCUGGGAUUUCCGGGCGGUCCUCCCGGCCGUAAACCUGCAUUCUCUCGGCGGAGAGUAGAGUCGGGUCCCACCCGACCCGUCUUGAAACACGGACCAAGGAGUCUAACAUGUGCGCGAGUCGUCGGGUUUGACUAAACCCGAAGGCGCAAUGAAAGUGAAGACCGUCCUCGUUGGCGUGUCUAGGGGAGAUCCCGUCCUGCUUCGGUAGCUCGGGCGCAUCCCCGGGCGUCGAAGCCGCGUUGCCGGCCAGACGCACCAAGAGCGUACACGUUGGGACCCGAAAGAUGGUGACCUAUGCCUGGCCAGGACGAAGCCAGGGGAAACCCUGGUGGAGGUCCGCAGCGAUUCUGACGUGCAAAUCGAUCGUCGGAGUUGGGUAUA
rnacentral:rRNA from 1 species